ACUUAAGCAUAUCAAUAAGCGGAGCAAAAGAAACCAACAGGGAUUGCCUCAGUAACGGCGAGUGAAGCGGCAACAGCUCAAAUUUGAAAUCUGGCCCCCUACCCGAGGCCCGAGUUGUAAUUUGCAGAGGGCGCUUCGGCGUUGGCCCCGGCCUAAGUUCCUUGGAACAGGGCGUCGCAGAGGGUGAGAACCCCGUACGUGGCCGCCGGCCUUCGCCAUGUGAAGCCCCUUCGACGAGUCGAGUUGUUUGGGAAUGCAGCUCUAAAUGGGAGGUAAAUUUCUUCUAAAGCUAAAUACUGGCCAGAGACCGAUAGCGCACAAGUAGAGUGAUCGAAAGAUGAAAAGCACUUUGGAAAGAGAGUCAAAAAGCACGUGAAAUUGUUGAAAGGGAAGCGCUUGCGGCCAGACGUGCCCGCGGUCGAUCAUCCAGGCCUCGCGGCCUGGUGCCACUCCUCCGCGGGCAGGCCAGCAUCGGUUCGGGCGGUCGGACAAAGGCUCCGGGAAUGUGGCUCUCUUCGGGGAGUGUUAUAGCCCGGGGCGCCAUGCGGCCAGCCCGGACCGAGGUCCGCGCGUACUGCUAGGAUGCUGGCGUAAUGGCCUCAAGCGGCCCGUCUUGAAACACGGACCAAGGAGUCUAACAUCUAUGCGAGUGUUUGGGUGUCAAGCCCGGGCGCGCAAUGAAAGUGAACGCAGGUGGGACCCCUUCGGGGCGCACCAUCGACCGAUCCUGAUGUACUCGGAUGGAUUUGAGUAAGAGCAUAGCUGUUGGGACCCGAAAGAUGGUGAACUAUGCCUGAAUAGGGUGAAGCCAGAGGAAACUCUGGUGGAGGCUCGCAGCGGUUCUGACGUGCAAAUCGAUCGUCAAAUUUGGGCAUAGGGGCGAAAGACUAAUCGAACUAUCUAGUAGCUGGUUCCUGCCGAAGUUUCCCUCAGGAUAGCAGUGACGUAUUCAGUUUUAUGAGGUAAAGCGAAUGAUUAGAGGCCUGGGGGUUGAAACAACCUUCACCUAUUCUCAAACUUUAAAUAUGUAAGAAGCCCUUGUUGCUUAGUUGAACGUGGGCAUUCGAAUGUACCGUCACUAGUGGGCCAUUUUUGGUAAGCAGAACUGGCG
rnacentral:rRNA from 1 species